GCACGUUCACCUCACCACUGGCGAGGCGCAGUUCGACUCAGGCCAUGGAACGGGGACCUGAG
rfam:Synechococcus sp. WH 8102 complete genome.